rnacentral:rRNA from 1 species
UACAGAGGGUGCGAGCGUUGUCCGGAAUUACUGGGCGUAAAGGGCGCGUAGGUGGUUUGAUAAGGGUGUGGUGAAAGUCCGGGGCUCAACCCCGGAUCUGCCGUGCCGACUGUCAAACUCGAGGGCUGUAGAGGCAGACGGAAUUCCGGGUGUAGCGGUGGAAUGCGUAGAGAUCCGGAGGAAGACCGGUGGCGAAGGCGGUCUGCUGGGCAGUUUCUGACACUGAGGCGCGGCAGCGUGGGGAGCAAACAGG